rnacentral:lncRNA from 1 species
UUAUAUGCUUACAAGGUAUCACAACGAGGUACGUGCCAUCGUUAUAUGCUUCAACCAUAUCGCAAUGAAAUAUGUCGUGGUUAUACGCUCAAUGGAUAUCGCAACGGAAAAUAUGUCGUACAGGGUAGUGCAAUACAAUAUGGGUCGUGGUUAUACGCUCAAUGGAUAUCGCAACGAAAAAUAUGUCGUCGUCAUAUGCUUGUGGGGUAGUGCAAAUGCUUAUUUUUUAAUACAACGGAAGAUCCAAAACAAAAAUUGAUGCCACAUAUAUAUCAUUAAUUAAAUCAAUCUAUCAUUCACGCACACCAUUCACGAUAAAACAGAAUAUUUGGCAUAUGAAAAUACUCUUGUCCAUUCAUCCACAUGACUCCCAAUAAUAAAGUAUCUAGAACACCUAUAUUAUUCGUACGCAUCUAUAAUCUUGAUCACUCCCAGCGUUCAUGAUGAUCAACUUUGCUUGAAGGUCUGCUUGUAACCUAUAGGCAAC